GUGCCAGCAGCCGCGGUAAGACAGAGGGUGCAAACGUUGUUCGGAAUUACUGGGCGUAAAGCGCGUGUAGGCGGCUUGGCAAGUCGGGUGUGAAAGCCCCGGGCUCAACCUGGGAAGUGCACUCGAAACUGCUUGGCUUGAGUACUGGAGAGGGAAGCGGAAUUCUCGGUGUAGAGGUGAAAUUCGUAGAUAUCGAGAGGAACACCGGUGGCGAAGGCGGCUUCCUGGACAGUUACUGACGCUGAGACGCGAAAGCGUGGGGAGCAAACAGGAUUAGAAACCCCCGUAGUCC
rnacentral:rRNA from 1 species